GUUAAGAAUAGUACCCAGAAAAAGAAAUUUGAUUGGCGGGAAGUUAUAAUUUCUUAAAUGGCGCCUCCUCUCAUGCAAUAAUUGCAAUGGUACCAUGAUUACAGCUUACAGGUUUCAGGUUAGUUUGAACUUUGCUAAAGCUUACAUAGUUAUAUGGUACAGGAAGUAAAUGUUCAUGAUCAUGUCAAAUAGUUUACCAGAGAUUGGUGACCAAAAAAAAUCUUACGCACAAGCUGUGCAUAUAAAUUUUCACAAAAGAUACAAAACUACAAAAGUUACCUCAGGAUUGAGUUUUUAGCUACGGUAUUUAUCACUUUUACCAAUUUCAUGGUUGCUGUGCAUCGAACAUAGAUUUUGACCACUGGCACCUGCUUUGUAUAUUUAUAUUUGCAAAUCUUAUCUAUCCUCCCUUUAGAGGAAAAUUUCAUGAAACAUGCUCCCACCUCUUUGACAUGGAGUGUCUAGCCGUGAUUCUAAUUAUGUGAUUUAGUAAAUAGUGUUGUCCAUAUUAUGUUAAAGUUCAGUUUUUAUAUUUUAGUUUUCUGUUUUUAUGUAUUUUCUAUUUGGAUGCUUGUAGUAAGGGGGCCCUUAUUGUUUAUAAAUAUGUGGUCUUGUAUUGUAUUAGAUCUUUGGGAUUCAUUAGAGUUUUGUGAAGGAUUUGGCUCCCUUGGUUCCCAGAUGGGGACGAGUCUCCAGCCACAGUGUUGGAAGGUGGAUAUUGUACCCCUCCGCCUUUGGUGGCGACAUCCCGGGUUCACUUUCUUCGUCAAUCCUUCAGGCGGUGAUUUUUAUAUCGUGAUUGGUUACAAUUUUCCGGAAUUCCAGCUGGUGAUCCUGUGUAAACAGUGAAACCUACCCUUCACCAGUAUCACUCUAGAUUGAAAGACCUAGUAGACGAAUCACUGGUCCAAUGCUGUCAGUUCUGGGUGAAAGUACUCUUUCAGAAACAAGUGAGAUCGCUUCCAUUUUCUUGGAGACAGUUUUCAUGAUGCUCGGAGGUCACUUAUUCAGUUUUCCUUGGAUAGCGAUUUCCUAUCUCGCAAUAAUGCAAUACCUGUUGAAAGAUUGGUGUCUCAUAUCCCGGGUGUCCAGAUCCCCAUUUUAAAAAGAGGCAUCCUAAGAGAAGAAUAUAGCAGAAAUCUUUGGUUGAUUCAAUUUUGAAUAAUCUAAUAACAGGAGGAAAGGCUUCCAUGCAAUUGGAUUUGCUCCAAGUGGCGAUGGACCAAAGGGAUCAGCUUGACCUACAAGCAGAUGUGUUGAAUCAUAUCGAUGCUAUUGAUGGAAGUUUUUCAUGUGAUGAAAUAGAAGCUCCUCCCACCUCAGCAGAAUGACAAGGAGUGUCAAAUCGAGAUCCAAGUUAUGUGAUCUAAUAAAUAGUGCUGCCCAUAUUAUGUUAAAGUUCAAUUUUUAUGUUUUAGUUUUCUGUUUGGAUGGCCCACUUGUAAUAAGGGAGUCCUUAGUGUUUAUAAAUAAGUGGUCUUGUGAUGUAUUAGGUUUUUUGGGUUCAUUUGAGCGUUGUGAGAGAUUUGGCUCCCUUGUUGGUUCCCAAAUAGGGACGAGGUUUAGAGGUAAUAGAGAUUGUACCCCUUUAUUGUAGUCAGUGACAUCCCGGAUUUCCUUCCUUUGUUGAUAUUUCGGAUGGUGAUUUCUAUAUCCCACUCGGUUAGGAGGAUAGGAAACCCUUGUAUGUUGUAUAUUUAUUUGUUUAGUAUUCUGUUUCUUGCUUUUCUUGUUCCUGAAUUUCUGUUAUUUGCAUUUUUUUCUAUCUUCUUGUUAAAUUUUGCAUGCAUACCCAUUCAGGUAUCACUCAUCAAGCAGGACAAUUAAAGAACUUAGUUUUUU